AUUCGUUAAGCAAAUAUUCUAUGACAAUUAAGAAAACAACUAUGACACACACAAUGUUGUGGGAGAAGGGUUGUCGAGGAGAAAUGCUCCGAUUAUACUUUAAACUGUGGCCAAAGUGUCGCCCCACAGACUCACUAUUACAGCAAUAUGAUUAUGAUAUAAUUAUAUGUCCUCAGGGGGUCGUGGUUCCCCCAUGUUGGACUUUACCCAAGGGGUAGUAGAUCCCCGAGAUGGGCAUCCUAAAUGUCCAAGGGGUAGUAGAUCCCCGUGAUGGUCAUUGUUUACUUUAAUGUCCAAGGGGUAGUAGAUCCCCGUGAUGGUCAUUGUUUACUUUAAUGUCCAAGGGGUAGUAAAUCCCCGUGAUGGUCAUUGUUUACUUUAAUGUCCAAGGGGUAGUAGAUCCCCGUGAUGGUCAUUGUUUACUUUAAUGUCCAAGGGGUAGUAGAUCCCCGUGAUGGUCAUUGUUUACUUUAAUGUCCAAGGGGUAGUAGAUCCCCGUGAUGGUCAUUGUUUACUUUACAAUACACUGUAUAAUACAUUGAUUUGUGUGAGUCUAUGGGGUUGAGGGUGACCUUUGGGAGCACUCUAUCCCCACAAAUACACAGCAUGUGUAUUCCCCAUAGACGAAAAAACCCAACUCCCACCACAACUGUAAUCGUAUAGAAGACAGAUGAUCUUUAUGCUUUUCGAAGACAUAUCGUCUAUAUUUCUCUUUCGACACACUUUAAAUAAUUAAUUAAUUAAAAUCAUGUUAUAUGCAAAUAUAAUUUUUUUUUUUUAUUAUUUU